GACGAACGCUGGCGGCGUGCUUAACACAUGCAAGUCGAGCGGGGAUUGAUGAAGUGCUUGCACGGAUUCAAUUCUAGCGGCGGACGGGUGAGUAACGCGUGAGCAAUCUGUCCUACACAGGGGGAUAACAGAUGGAAACAUCUGCUAAUACCGCAUAAGACCACGGGAUCACAUGUUCCUGGGGUAAAAGAUUUAAUCGGUGUAGGGUGAGCUCGCGUCCGAUUAGCUAGUUGGUGAGGUAACGGCCCACCAAGGCGACGAUCGGUAGCCGACCUGAGAGGGUGAUCGGCCACAUUGGAACUGAGACACGGUCCAAACUCCUACGGGAGGCAGCAGUGGGGAAUAUUGGGCAAUGGGCGCAAGCCUGACCCAGCAACGCCGCGUGAGGGAAGAAGGUUUUCGGAUUGUAAACCUCUGUCCUCAAGGACGAAGGAAGUGACGGUACUUGAGGAGGAAGCCCGGCUAACUACGUG
rnacentral:rRNA from 1 species